AGUUUUUCUAGUAGAAUCGUGUCUAGCAUGAUGCCUUCUAUGCAUGUAUGUUACUGAGGAAAAAUGUAAACAAUAACGUCAGAAAAGAUUCGCCUAUACCCCAUUGACACCCCUCGCAUAAGCCUGGCCUCCUUCAAAAUCAGUCCAACAUCAAAAACAUCAGCGACCACAAAGAACAAAAAGUUCACGGCAAUAUUUCACUAAUUUCUUACAUGGAACGAAACUUGUCACUUCUGUAUUCAACGAAGUGAAAUUUGUGUGGAGCAAAGUAACUUCUAUUGUGGAGCGAUCCAACAUCGGGUUUAGCGAACGAGUUGGAGCGAUCUAACCAUGGAGCGAAGUGACCGUAAACCCUUUCUUUCACGCUGAUAUUCAAUGCCAGAAAAUGGACUAUAAGUUCACGCGAAACGACUGCAAUUCUUGCUAACUUGAAGUACACUAAUGUUCGCUUUCCAGAGCAGAAAUAUUUGAAGCUGAAACUACAGACUGAAACUAGAAAUCAGCAGUGUUGUGUGUGGUCUGUCAACCAAACAGCUGAAUCUCAGCUGCCCGCAGCUGACCUACAGAGUAAAUUAUUCAAACCUGGUCGGGGUAGGAUCAUACCAUCAGUUGUAAACUACAGCCCGAGCCGUUCUUCGCUCCUUUCUUCCAUAGCAGGUCAGAGGAACGCCAGAAAUCCGCGCAUUCUCUGGAACCGCAGAGGAACCGCCAAGAAAACUGACCCACGUAACCCACGUGACUUGCACAUGUUACUUGCUUGUCAUACUCCGGAUGGAGCUUGGGGAAAAGGAUUGCGUGACGUGCGCACAUGCAAGAAAAUCUGUUUUACACAUGUGUUGAUAACGUUUAUUAGCGAUUCAAGAAAAUCAAGCGGGCGGACCUGGAAGGAGGGGCCACUGACCAUCUGGAAAAAGGCCACGAUAUAUGGGCAGCCGUAACCACCAAAAAUACAAACGAUACAAACAGUCUGUGGAACAAACAGAAAUGUUUCAGUAAUGUUCCGUUCUAUUGUUUCAGUGAUUGUCGGUGUUCUUACUUCGCCAUACUUUUUGAAUUAAUUGGACCGUUGAUACACCCAAGGUUGCGAAAAUUGUGUCUUCAUUUUAUCGCUUCGACAACAGUGGCUAGACAGUUUCUAAACUGUCUAAACCAUUUGCUGGUUGAGUAUCCCAUUCCACCAAAGACAACCGGUCCAACUGCAUUGUAACUACAGCAUAUAAACUGUACUAACUAACAAAGGGCAUUUAAACCAUUUCUGUUUAUUCUAGACUGUUUGUAUCGUUUGUAUUUUUGGUGGUAACGGCUGCCCAUAAUGAUAAGGGAUACUCUCAUUAUGUUACACAACAAGCUUUCUGGCUCAAAUUAAGCACAAUACACCUUCUCGUCUCAAUUUAAUUAUUAUAAUAUUAUUAUUUCAUCAAGGUCCAACAAAGAAAAUAGUAACCAAUGGCCAUCAUGGUCAUUUGAAUAUAUUUUCUUGAUAUUAAAGCAGUUUGUUUUUAGUUUCAAAUUGGUUCCAAUUCAGAACACUCAACAAUAUUAUUAGCAUUUAUUGGACGGCACAACAGAGGGAUUGUCUGGACCAGAUAUCACUCAAGAAGUACAACAAUGCACUCAGUCGCUCGUGCUCACGACUUCUUCCCUCAAAGAUCACCCUGUCACUUCACUGGAGGGAAAUGAAUAAAGGUCAAGUUGUGGCAAGUCUAGCAAGCAACAUUUAUUAAAAACAUGG